ACAAGGGAAAGAAAGGCAAGGAAGAAUUUCAAGAAACAGUGGAAGGAGGGAGGGAGGGAGAAAGAAAAGAGAAAUAAUUAACAGCAUCAUCAACAACGAAACGAAACGAAACGAAACUCCUCUCAACUACUGCAUUGUUUCUUCAAAUGGUGGCAAGAGUUUGCAGUGGAAGACAUUGUUGAUUUGAGAGAUGGCGAGUUACGAGGCUAUUAAAAACUUUGAUGAUGAUGAUGUGGAGAUGGCGCUUCCUCAUAACCAGA